AAAGACCAGGUUAUUUGAAAACGAAGAGUGAGUGAAACUGAAACAUAUAUGUCGUAAAAUCUGAAAGAGGAAAAAAUGUUCUAGGAUUUAGUGUUUUGACCUUCAAGCAUCAUAGGAAGAGUGAUAAAUAAAAUUCUAUUAGUGUCGAUCAAAAGGUAGGGAGCAAGUUCUUUGGUAUUUACUGGUCAAAAUCAUAGCAGGGUGAAAUUCAGUGACAAUGUAGCUUCAACCUUACACAAAUGACAAUGGUGAUGAUACUAGCAAGGUAGUUAUCACCAUUUAGAUUAACCCCAGUAGUUCAACGCUCAACAUACCUGCAUGUUAUAGAACUUCAUUUAAAUUUUAAACCUUUAUUUAUACUGCCCAUACUGGUUCAGGAUGGAGGAGGAUGAGUUGAACUUUUUUAAUCCACCUAUAAGCAAAUAUGUGCUUAGAUGCUAUUUUUAGAGAUGGAUUUUAUACUAAUGGGUUGCAUUACAACUUGAGUUGGUUA